rnacentral:rRNA from 1 species
AACGCGAAGAACCUUACCAGGAUUUGACAUGCCCUCUAUGAGACUCCGAAAAGAGUCUCUUCACUUCGGGUGGGAGGUGCACAGGUGCUGCAUGGCUGUCGUCAGCUCGUGUCGUGAGAUGUUGGGUUAAGUCCCGCAACGAGCGCAACCCUCAUUCUCUGUUGCUAACAGGUUAAGCUGAGCACUCUGAGAAAACUGCCGGUGAUAAGCCGGAGGAAGGUGGGGAUGACGUCAAGUCCUCAUGGCCCUUACAUCCUGGGCUACACACGUGUUACAAUGGCGGUGACAAUGGGCAGCGAACCCGCAAGGGGGAGCGAAUCUCAAAAAGCCGCCUCAGUUUGGAUUGUACUCUGCAACUCGAGUACAUGAAAUUGGAAUCGCUAGUAAUCGCGGAUCAGCACGCCGCGGUGAAUACGUUCCCGGGCCUUGUACACACCGACAUA